GUAGUCAUAUGCUUGUCUCAAAGAUUAAGCCAUGCAUGUCUAAGUAUAAGCAAUUAUACCGUGAAACUGCGAAUGGCUCAUUAAAUCAGUUAUCGUUUAUUUGAUAGUACCUUACUACUUGGAUAACCGUGGUAAUUCUAGAGCUAAUACAUGCUGAAAACCCCGACUUCGGAAGGGGUGUAUUUAUUAGAUAAAAAACCAAUGCCCUUCGGGGCUCCUUGGUGAUUCAUAAUAACUUAACGGAUCGCAUGGCCUUGCGCCGGCGACGGUUCAUUCAAAUUUCUGCCCUAUCAACUUUCGAUGGUAAGGUAUUGGCUUACCAUGGUUUCAACGGGUAACGGGGAAU
rnacentral:rRNA from 1 species